GAUGAAGAACGCAGUGAAAUGCGAUAAGUAAUGUGAAUUGCAGAAUUCAGUGAAUCAUCGAAUCUUUGAACGCACAUUGCGCCCGCCAGUAUUCUGGCGGGCAUGCCUGUUCGAGCGUCAUUUCAACCAUCAAGCCCCCGGCUUGUGUUGGGGACCUGCGGCUGCCGCAGGCCCUGAAAAGCAGUGGCGGGCUCGCUGUCACACCGAACGUAGUAGCAUACAUCUCGCUCUGGGCGUGCUGCGGGUUCCGGCCGUUAAACCACCUUCAUAACCCAAGGUUGACCUCGGAUCAGGUAGGAAGACCCGCUGAACUUAAGCAUAUCAAUAAGCGGAGGA
rnacentral:misc_RNA from 1 species